rnacentral:rRNA from 1 species
UACGUUCCCGGGCCUUGUACACACCGCCCGUCACACCACGAAAGUCGGCAACACCCGAAGCCGGUGGCCUAACCCGCAAGGGAAGGAGCCGUCGAAGGUGGGGUCGGUGAUUGGGGUG